rnacentral:rRNA from 1 species
UCUUGGCUGUAAACUAAUAUAAUUUACCAGAGUACUAUGAAUAACAAAAUUUAAAACUCAAAGAGCUUGGCGGUGUUUUAGACCCCUCAGGGGAACCUGUCUCGUAAUCGACAAUCCACGUUAAACCUAACCUUUUUUUGUUAUUCAGUCUGUAUACCGUCGUCGCCAGGUAACUUCCAAAAAACUAGAAGUUAGCAAACAAAACGAUUUAAAUUUAAACGUCAGAUCAAGGUGCAGCUGAUAAGAAGGUGAGGAUGGGUUACAAUUAUCUUAGUCAUAAUAACGGAAAUAAAAAUGAAAUUUUUUCAUCGAAGGAGGACUUGAAAGUAAAAUAUGCUAUGAGAACUAUUUGAAUACGGCUCUGAAACGUGC